AUCCUAUGACGAGGACAUUUACGAAGUAACUCCUUGAAUCACUCCCAAGCCUCAUACAAAGACUCGUCAUCCAAUUGCUGGAAAGUUGUGAUCUUGUUUCUCAACUU
rfam:Gossypium hirsutum cultivar TM-1 chromosome 18, whole genome shotgun sequence